UCUCAGAUGAGGAAACUAAUUUUAAAGAGGUUAAAUAAAUUGCCUUAGAUUACACAGCUAAUGGUCAAAUUCCUUUCAAAGAACUGUUUGAAAGGGAGAGCAUUGGUUCUAUACUGAAAAGGCCAAAGGGAGUCAACUUCUACUACAAGCCUCGGCUGAUUAUUUGAUUUCCAAGGCACCCUUCUUACCCUAAAAGUCUGUACAUCUAUGACUCUGUUACCAUUGUCCGUUCAGGGUUGGGUGAUGAUGUAGAUUUUGAUGAUGAGGAUAAUAGCAAUAACAGUAAUAAUAAUAGCUUCUUUAACCAUCUCCACAGGCCAAGUACAUUCCCUUUGUCAUCAUCAAUUUCUGCAAUAGUUCGCUAAGGGCAACUCUCUUAGGGACAGCCCCAGCCUCCAUUCCACCUCCCACAAAGUUGCCUUGGGUCACGUGGUCAAUUCGGAGGAGAGAAAUAACUACAAUAGAGCAACCAGGAGAAGAAAAGAGUGAGAGAAAGAAUUCCUAUUUCAUAUUCCAUAAUCAGGACAAGCCUGGCAGGCCACAGUCCAGGGGGUCACAAAGAUUCGAACACAACUCAGUGCCUAAACGCAGCAGCAGCAGCAAUCAGAACAAGAAUAAGAAGAUGGAAACACUCGAGGCAGAUGAUUGAAGAAUCAUUAUGAAACAAGUGCCCAUUUGUGCAUACCAAGUUGGACACUGAACAUAUCAGUUUAGAUGGAUAAGUCCUACGCCCUUCAACGGCUUAUAACAAAACCAAGCAUCUGACCAGAUGGAUAUAUCAGUAAGAGUUAAGCAAAAUGUGGUAAAACAGCCAAACUGUGAAUAAAUUAA